rnacentral:lncRNA from 1 species
UAGCAUUGAUGGUGAGAUUGAGUAGAGCAAAUGCUGGAUUAAAAGUUUUAGGUGCACUUAAAAGGUAUGCUAAGAAUAGAAUCUAUCAAAGAAUAAUAGGCUCUGAUAUAUCCAAAUUUAAUAAAAUUAAAUUUGGAUAUAUCAAUGUGCUAGUUUCAGCAUUGAUAUAUGGAAAUGAACAUGGUUAUAGGGUGAAAGGAAUAGAAAAUGUAUGGGUGCAGUGGAGAUGAGAGAGUUGAGAGGUGUAAUUGAAUUUUGCAUUAUGUCAAACUGAGCUAACUUUGCUUCACUGAUGAAAAUUAUUAAAAAACACAAGCACAAUAAGCAAAGUAACCAAAAUUUAAUAAGGUAAAACAGUACUGAUGAGAGAGAAAACAUAAUGUUUGAAAGUGUUUUACCCUAUUAAAUUUUGGUUGCUUUGCUUAUUGUGCUUGUGUUUUUUAAUAAUUUUCAUCAGUGAAGCAAAGUUAGUUCAGUUUGCUUUUUAAGAUUAUAAUAAUGCUAAUUAUUGCAGAUGUAUUUUGCAUUAUAUAAUAACAUAAUAUAUUAAGGCUCAAAAAUGCAUUAUAAUCUUUUAUAUUUAAAUUAAUGAUAAUUUUAUUCUUAAUUUACAAUAAUUCUAUUGUAAGUAUUUUUCAAGAUUAUAUUGUAAACUGAGGUUAAGUGUAUGUUGUCAUUCUUGAAGUAGUGAUUGGCCAGAUGAUCAUAUUGUAAAGCAAUUGCUUAAAAUCUUAAAGGAUCCAGGCCCAUUCUCAGUUCCCAUUUCAGUUUCAGAGGACCAUUUCAGUCUAUAGGCCCAUUUUCAGUUUUUCAGAGGAAUCCAACCCCAUCUGUUGAAUGUUAUCCAUCAUUCUUCUGAUGAUCCCAUCAUGAAUAUUGGCCAGCCUAUGGCUGCUACCAGAUAUAGUAUAUCCUAUGUAUGAUAUGAUGGCAUAUUAAAAUCAUCCUUAAUCUGAAAUUGUUGUUAUUGAUUCCAAGACUAGCAAUGAAAGUUAAGAAAAAUUUCCCAUAAAUGCAAUAUUGAAAUUGAAUAAGUGCUUUCAUACACUAAUUGUUUGACAAAAUGCAAAUAUCUCUCCUAUAACAUGUACUCCUACAACACUGUUUUGCUCCAACUUAAUUUGAUAUUUGCUAGUUUGCUGUGAGAGGCCGAUACACAGUCUAUUUUCAGUUUUGAUUUGAAACUGAAUUAAUUUUGAUUUACUUCAUUAAUUGUUACCAUUUGAGUAUUUUGUGUUCCAAACAUACAGUUCUUGGAUAAAAAGUACAUUUUUAUUAUUCAAUAGAGG